GUUUAGGGUACGACAAAAUACAAUGAAUUUGAAGCCAACAUCGGGAAGGGUCAUUGAAACUUAAUCAUAAGCAAGUAAGUUCUCAUGUUCUCGUUCAGCGUACGCUAGAUUAAAAUAAAUUCUAGGAGAAAUUGAGAUGAUAAGAACAUCAUCCUCGUCAUUACAGCCAGAUAGAUCGAUUGAGAGGGAAGUAAAAGGUAGGAGAUGGCGAUUUCCAUCUACUAACACCUCAUAGAUUGAUGUUUAAGCUAACUUUAUUCAAAUAGUGCGUGGAGGAAUCUACUGUUUAAUUUUAAGGUAUGAGUUAUUCCCAUUUGUAUUGAACUUAGGUUUGGAGCGUGUAGUGGAAAAAAAAAUCCGUUUCGUGUUUAUUUUAGGGACAGAGUUUUGUUUUUAACCAUUUGUAGAUAAUUUAUGUGGUUGCAAACUCCGAUCUAUCACCCACUUGAUAGAUUUGGAGUGUUUGGGUGAAAAACAUAAUUAUGACCUAUGUUUCCAAUUGGGUGUUACGUGUGUUGGAUUGCUACCCCAGAUGGCGAGAGCAAGCGAACGAUUUAGAUGCUCAAAGAUACGCUUCCGACUUAUGUAUUUGAUUUUGGAGGGAGUUGGAAUACUUACCUUCCACUGGCUGAGUUCUCCUACAAAAGCAGUUAUCAUGCCAGUACUCACCGGCCAUCGUUUAAGAUGUUAUAUGGAUGGAGGUGCAAUACCCGGUUUGCAUGGGGGAGGUCGGGCAUCGGGUCAUGGGUGUACUGAGGUGGUACUCAAGACCAUUGAAAUGAUUCAGUAGGUGCACGACAUGUUGCGAGUCCCCUGAAGCCGAUUGGAGAGUUACGCAGAUCGGGGACGUUCGGACCUCGUGUUUCAUGAGGGGGUUUGGUGCUUUUUAAGAUCUCACCUUGGAAAGGUGUCAUCCGAUUUCAAAAGUCGGGAAGCUGGUAGUAGAUUUAUUAGUCCCUUCAGGGUUUCUUCCCUGGUGGGAAAUGUUGCAUACCGUCUGGAUUUUCCUGAUGAGCUCAGCCGGAUCUACAAAACCUUCCAUAUGUCUCAGCUUCGGAAGUGUGCUGCCGAUUAGCUCAAAGUUGUUCCUUUGGAUUACAUUCAGGUUGAUGAUCGUCUGAAUUAUGUGAAGAGAUCGGUGACGAUCUAGGAUUGGAAGACGAGCACUCUUUGCAACAAAGGAGUAUCACUACACAAGGUCUAGUGGCAUCAUCAGAAGGAUUUCGAAUGGAAGUGGGAGCCUGAGGCGGCGAUGCAAGAGCACUACCCUAAUUUAUUUGCAAAAACAGACUUUGAGGACGAAAUCUAGUUUAAGUGGGGGAGAGUUAUAACAUCUUGACUUCCAAGUAUUUUAAAAUUUUACACUUGAUUUGAGUUUGGUUUUAAAAUUUAGUCCCAAGCGGUAUUUUUAUAAUUUUUGCAUGGGAAUCUCGUACGUUGGGCGUACGUGGAGAGGGUGCAAACCCUAAAUUUUAUGGUUUGGACCCUACUUAAGCAUCAUUAUAGCCCCAUACCCUCAUUUAUCUUCAGCCUCCAUCCCUAUCUCGAAACCCUAAAGUAAGUGAGUGAGUUUUGUAGCGUGAUGAGCCUUUUUAGUGCCAUUCUAGUGCUCUUAGUGGUGAAGGAGGAACCUAGAAGUUGUGGUGUUUCACUCAAGGCUUUGGAUCCUACAACUACUCUGUCUUGUCUUGUUCAUCUUCUGGAGAUAUAAAGCUACCACUUGAUGAAUAUUUCAUUAAGAUGUAGUUUAGUUUAAAGUUAGCACCUUUUUGUACCAAAUCUUGAUUCUUAUGAGUAUGGAGUACUCCAUGAUGUUUGAGUUGUCAUUUCAGAUGUUAUAGGGUGUGUUAAGUCAUAAAAAUAUGAUCUUGGACAUUAGUUCCUUCACAUGCGUGAUCUAGAUUGUCUUAUUGGGUCAAGAGACUAGGGUCUUUUUAGCCAUGAGAAACCAUAAAGUUGGAAACUUUAUGGUUCUGAACACUUGUUAGGGUCUUGAUUUAGUUUUUGGACGUAAGUCUUAAGGAUUUAGCAUUUAAUGGAUUGUGUGGGUGGCAGCCACGAAAGUUGGGAAUAACAACGGGUAGACUGCACGUUCGGGGUCAGCCCUUUGAGAUUUGGUCAAGCAAGUAGUAUUACCCAUUACUAGUAUUUUAAGUUAUUAAAAAUUCUCGUUCGUACUUUUGGAAGUAGGUAGUGAUUUAAGAUUGUAAUGAAGCAUUGGUAGAUUGUCCAUGGUGAUGCAUAAAGAAAAUUUUUGAACAAAUGCUCAUGAGUACUUUAAAUGAAGAUUUUAAGGUAUUGGAUUAACCCACACUUAGAGAUUACUUCAUGGAUUCUAUUACAAGUAAUUCUAAGAUGGUAAUAUCAUAUAUCCUUCAAAUGGAGAUGCUUGGGAUUCUCUCCUACAAUCUUUUUUUGUUUUGGUUUCCCCCAAACAUUGUUCGUAAAUGGCAAUCAUAAAGGGUUUGACUAGAUAUGGCAUAAGCAAUAGGCAAAAUCUUUAUAGUCGAAGUUUGUUUGUUCGCUUUUCCCUCAAAAACUAAAAAUAGAUAUCAUUGUUCCCCUCGAUGAUUUGUUGUUGACAUUAAAAUACAUGGUCGUGCUCAGACUGAAUCGAUGGAUCAAUUAUGCAGUUUUCUUUUGAUUGAUAGAAGUUAGUAUCGGGAAACAAAAUCUUGAACAUUUGAGAUCGAAUAUAUAAAUGUCUCAUUUUCAUAUACAUAUCUUGAAGAAUAAAGGAACAUUUGAUUAGUUAUCUAAGGGAUAUAUCACAAUCAUGUGUUUUGAGUAUGGAAAAUACAUUUGACUAGAUCCUCUCUACUCAUUACUAUUAAAUAUUAGACCAUAUAGUCUUGGUGACUUGUGCAAGUUGAGGUCUUAGAAAAUGGUGCCUAGAUUUACAACACAGUGACAACAAUUAGUACAAGCGGAUUGAUAUGUAAGUUAUUAGUACAUAAUGUUAUAAGAUGCAAGUUUGGGUAUACAGAUAACCGUUAUUACCCUUUGAGGGAUGAAUCACCUGAUAAUAAAAAGAAAAUAUAAAAAGACAAGUUUACUUUUAUGUAAAACCCAUUAAAAAGUUGUUAUAAACAUGUAGUAGUUGUAAUAUAUCUUAAAAACUAUGCAUAAAAUGAAAAUAUAAAAAAAGAAAUUGAAUUAGUAAAAAAAAUCAAUUUCUUGNAAAUCAAUUUCUUAAACAAAUUUCUUAGAAAACCAGUUUCUUAAAAAUGUAAAAACAAACUUGUAGAAACAAGUUGUGGCAUAUUUGUAAACAAAGUUACGGCCAAAGUAAUAUUGAAAAUAAAAACAUUGGCAAUCUUGUAAAGAAAAGGUAUCCUCUAAACAAACAAACCUGCAAUAAUGAGUCAUUGUGACAAAGAAGAAAUAAAACAUUGGCUUUUCUUACUUCUACAAAUAAUAAAAUGUUAACAUGUAACUUUUAUAUAUUUAAAAUAUUUGGCAACCCAUUUAGUUUUGGUAAUAGCCAUUUAUUUUGUUUUGCAACCAUAUGAUUGCAAACAUCGCACACGCACAUAGAGGCUCACACGCACACAGUCAGAUUCAAUUCGGGAUGGAGGGAACAACAAGAAAUAAUGAUAACUGGAUUCUAUAACAAACGACAAACCUUCAAAAUCCUUAAUUCAUAGCUAUCAUUUGUAGUUUAAUACUCAUGGAUUUUAGUAAUUGCUGCUCUAGAAAUGCAUUUAGAAAAUUUCAUUAAACCCAAUCACUUACUAAGAAACACGUUGUGUUAAAGCUAAUAAUAUGCGUGAAGCAUAAAUCAUUGAGAAAGAUUGCUAACCAACUGCAACUGAAUAUGCUAAUGUACAUAAAAGAUCACAUGAUGAAACGUUUACCAGCAAUAGCAAUGUGUUAGAUCUACUAUUUUGGUGUCAAGUAGCCCUUGGAGUUCCCCCAAACACUUCAGUAGGAAAUCAUUAAUAAAGCAUCCCAAUGAAGUGUUCGGAGGAUCUCUGAGGGACACUUGGCUUUUCCUACAUCUGUAUUUGCUUGAAGUUGAUUGCUUUGUUUAGAAAAUAAACGUGCCAGAAUUACUUGGUAUAUAUAGAGGGAGAGGGAGUAGAGGUUAUUUUCUGAUCGAUGAACAUGGAUACAUCAGCAGCAUGAACAUGGUUGCCAUCGUGUCUCUAUUAGGAGAUAUAUUUUCCCAUAAUCCCAAUUUUCACAUAAAGGGAAAUAUAUGAGAGUGACGAGUUAUGCUGAGGACCAGGUGAACAUGGGUAUCAUAUUCUCAUUUGAUCAUCUAUCCCAUAUACAUGACCACAUUCAAUCUCUGACCUACAAUAUAUAACAUAUUAGCAUAAGAUUUGAUAAUGGGAAAGAGAUGUAUAUUGAUUAUUCAUUCAAAACUAGAAUUGAAUCGAAUAUACCAUGACUGCAAUAUCAUGUAAAGAAAUGAUGCAUGCUGAUUUAUAUAUAAGGUUACAGACACGGCAAGAGGCAGGACAUGCAAAAUUCUGCUCUAAUUGAACUUUUUGUGAAAGAUUUCCUAUUGCAGGUCCACUAGUCUGAUUCUCUUCUUACUCUCAUAAGCUCCCUCGAUUAUAACCCCACUAUCAUUUUCAAGUUUCAACCAUUACCCUCCAAUUAUGUUCAAAUGUGUAUAAACUAUAAAAGGCGUUGAAAGAUUCUCACAUCCACAUAAUCACCCUACACCUAUCACCAUAUAUUUGGAGACUGCAUCUCAUUGUGCACCUGCUUGUAAUUUUGUUUUCUUCUGAUUUUCAUUCGUAUGUAUUCUGCCCCCUGUAAUUUACCAGCUAGCUUUCAAUCUUUUUGUUUUUAAAAAUCUGCGGUUCUAGAAAAAAGUUGUAGAGAGAAUGAAGAGCAACUUACCAGGUAAAUAAAGAUCCAGUUGAAAAAAAUUGAUUUAUCAAUCCCCCUCUAUUUUUUUUUUCAAUUGAUAAAUAUAGUUACUGUUGGUGAUAAUGAAGAGCAUUGACGAUGGAGUAGACUUUGAAUGAUAUGGGAAAGGAAGCAGCAACCAUUUGAUCAAGGGGAGGUUUUCCGAUUGCGUUGGAGCAACGAUUUCUGUUUACAUAAGUUGAAUAAAAAUAAACUAGUUAACGAUUUAUUUUAGGUUUAAAACACAAACAGGUAAUAAGCCGAUUUAAAUGAAAGAAAAUUCACAAAAAAUAACGACUAUAAAGAACGAUUAGACAAAGAAUUAAAAACACCGUUUCUUAAAUUUUUUUAUUUAAAAUCAUUUUUUUUAAAUAAUGUGAAACUAUAUUUCAAAAAUAUGGUGCAAAUUUGUAAAAACAAAUCCGAAGCUAAUUCAUAAUUUUUUUUUUAAAUCCGGUGACGAACUCGCUAUAGCCCAUCAGAUGGUUUAUGUGAGGACGAACUCAUGAAGUCAAGGUGGAUAGAUGAUGAGGGUUGGUUUAGGGUACGACAAAAUACAAUGAAUUUGAAGCCAACAUCGGGAAGGGUCAUUGAAACUUAAUCAUCAGCAAGUAAGUUCUCAUGUUCUCGUUCAGCCUACGCUAGAAUAAAAUGAAUUCCAGGAAAAAUUGAGAUGAUAAGAACAUCAUCCUCGUCAUUACAGCCAGAUAGAUCGAUUGAGAGGGAGGUAAAAGGUAGGAGAUGGCGAUUUCCAUCUACUAACACCUCAUAGAUUGAUGUUUAAGCUAACUUUAUUCAAAUAGUGCGUGGAGGAAUCUAAUGUUUAAUUUUAAGGUAUGAGUUAUUCCCAUUUGUAUUGAACUUAG
rnacentral:lncRNA from 1 species